UUAAAUGGCCGCGGUAUUUUGACCGUGCUAAGGUAGCAUAAUCAUUAGUUUUUUAAUUGAAAGCUGGAAUGAAAGGUUGGAUGAAAAAAAGACUGUCUCUAUUUAAAAAAUAAAAUUUUAUUUUUAAGUUAAAAAGCUUAAAUAAUUUUAAAAGACGAGAAGACCCUAUAGAGUUUUAUAAAAUUUAUUUAUUUUUAUAGUUAGAAUUUUAUUAUUUAUAAUAGUAUAUUUAUUUAAUUGGGGUGAUUGAAAAAUUUAAUAAACUUUUUUUUUAUUAUAAUAUUUUUAUAUAAGUGUUUGAUCCAUUUUGUAUUGAUUAUAAGAUUAAAUUACCUUAGGGAUAACAGCGUAAUUUUAUUGGAGAGUU
rnacentral:rRNA from 1 species